rnacentral:rRNA from 1 species
CCUACGGGUGGCAGCAGUAGGGAAUAUUGCUCAAUGGGGGAAACCCUGAAGCAGCAACGCCGCGUGGAGGAUGAAGGUUUUCGGAUUGUAAACUCCUUUUGUUAGAGAAGAUAAUGACGGUAUCUAACGAAUAAGCACCGGCUAACUCCGUGCCAGCAGCCGCGGUAAUACGGAGGGUGCAAGCGUUACUCGGAAUCACUGGGCGUAAAGAGGGCGUAGGCGGGAUAGCAAGUCAGAUGUGAAAUCCUAUGGCUUAACCAUAGUACUGCAUUUGAAACUGUUAUUCUAGAGUAUGGGAGAGGUAUGUGGAAUGCUUGGUGUAGGGGUAAAAUCCGUAGAGAUCAAGAGGAAUACUCAUUGCGAAGGCGACCUGCUAGAACAUAACUGACGCUGAUGCGCGAAAGCGUGGGUAGCAAACAGGAUUAGAUACCCUAGUAGUC